CUUACUACUAUUAUUUCAACGGGUUAUUUUAACUUGAUUUCAAACCUACACAUAAUUUACUGAAAUAUAAUUUACGCUAUUUAGCUUUUCUUACAGCUAUUGAUAUUCAGCAAACCUUUGCAUUUCCAAUGUGAGCUUUAAAUGAUAUUGCAUGAAUAUAUACAAUUGAAUCCCUGGAGUUCUGUGCUUAGCUCAAAAAUCAGAAUCAACCAAUGCAGAAAAGCUCUUGGUUGGCCACUUUAAAUGCAUUUUCUUAUCCCUACUCAAAAUGUGGAGAGUACCAGAAUAAAAAGACAUCUGCAGGUCACUGCAAAGGAAAAGAUAACACUGAAACAACCUGAAUACUCUUGUCAAUGUGUUUAAAUGGAUUAUUAUGUUUUCCUGUAAGACUGGUGUAUGCAAUGAAAAGAAAAUGUAAGAGCAGUGAUUCAUGCAAUGAGCAAGGUGCCUGUGUCACCCAAGUCGAGGCUGCCACUGUGAGUUGGACUGAAUAGUGAAGCCUGACAUCAUUUGUUAAUCAA
rnacentral:lncRNA from 1 species